CCUAUUUGGUUGCAUGUCAUUGUUUUCAUGUGUGUUUUAUGUAGAUAUUAGAUGUGCUUCUCUUGUAGGUUUAACUCUAAUGUUAUGUUUUGUGAAGCUGUUUUAGUUUCAAUAUUUGGAGAUUGAUUUCCCCAUCAUCAGUCUUCAUUAGAGCUUGAUCAUUAUUUGUAUCCCGGAUAAAGGUGAUGAAUCAGGGCCAAUCAUACUUUAUCUGGAUUUUUAUAUGCGAUAUUUGAAGCAGCAAGCAUCUUUGGCAAAUAGAUCGUUAUCCAAGUAUAAUUUUUUUAAUACAUAUUUCUACAAGAAGC